GCCUUCAGCAUAAGGACUUUGGGGGAAGA
rnacentral:piRNA from 1 species